rnacentral:rRNA from 1 species
CAAGUCGAGCGGAUCUUCAUUAGCUUGCUUUUGAAGAUCAGCGGCGGACGGGUGAGUAACACGUGGGCAACCUGCCUGUAAGACUGGGAUAACUUCGGGAAACCGGAGCUAAUACCGGAUAAUCCUUUCCCUCUCAUGAGGGAAAGCUGAAAGACGGUUUCGGCUGUCACUUACAGAUGGGCCCGCGGCGCAUUAGCUAGUUGGUGAGGUAACGGCUCACCAAGGCGACGAUGCGUAGCCGACCUGAGAGGGUGAUCGGCCACACUGGGACUGAGACACGGCCCAGACUCCUACGGGAGGCAGCAGUAGGGAAUCUUCCGCAAUGGACGAAAGUCUGACGGAGCAACGCCGCGUGAGCGAUGAAGGCCUUCGGGUCGUAAAGCUCUGUUGUCAGGGAAGAACAAGUACCGGAGUAACUGCCGGUACCUUGACGGUACCUGACCAGAAAGCCACGGCUAACUACGUGCCAGCAGCCGCGGUAAUACGUAGGUGGCAAGCGUUGUCCGGAAUUAUUGGGCGUAAAGCGCGCGCAGGCGGUUCCUUAAGUCUGAUGUGAAAGCCCCCGGCUCACCCGGGGAGGGUCAUUGGAAACUGGGGAACUUGAGUGCAGAAGAGGAGAGCGGAAUUCCACGUGUAGCGGUGAAAUGCGUAGAGAUGUGGAGGAACACCAGUGGCGAAGGCGGCUCUCUGGUCUGUAACUGACGCUGAGGCGCGAAAGCGUGGGGAGCGAACAGGAUUAGAUACCCUGGUAGUCCACGCCGUAAACGAUGAGUGCUAAGUGUUAGAGGGUUUCCGCCCUUUAGUGCUGCAGCAAACGCAUUAAGCACUCCGCCUGGGGAGUACGGCCGCAAGGCUGAAACUCAAAGGAAUUGACGGGGGCCCGCACAAGCGGUGGAGCAUGUGGUUUAAUUUGAAGCAACGCGAAGAACCUUACCAGGUCUUGACAUCCUUUGACAACCCUAGAGAUAGGGCGUUCCCCUUCGGGGGACAGAGUGACAGGUGGUGCAUGGUUGU